rnacentral:rRNA from 1 species
AUUGAACGCUGGCGGAAUGCUUUACACAUGCAAGUCGAACGGCAGCACGGGUGCUUGCACCUGGUGGCGAGUGGCGAACGGGUGAGUAAUACAUCGGAACGUAUCCAGUCGUGGGGGAUAACGUAGCGAAAGUUACGCUAAUACCGCAUACGUCCUGAGGGAGAAAGCGGGGGACCGUAAGGCCUCGCGCGAUUGGAGCGGCCGAUGGCGGAUUAGCUAGUUGGUGGGGUAAAGGCCUACCAAGGCGACGAUCCGUAGCGGGUCUGGGAGGACGGACCGCCACACUGGAACUGAGGCGCGGUCCAGACUCCUACGGGAGGCAGCAGUGGGGAAUUGUGGACAAUGGGCGAAAGCCUGAUCCAGCCAUUCCGCGUGAGUGAAGAAGGCCUUCGGGUUGUAAAGCUCUUUCGGCAGGGAAGAAACGGCUUGGGAUAAUACCCCGGGCUAAUGACGGUACCUGAAGAAGAAGCACCGGCUAACUACGUGCCAGCCGCCGCGGUAA